GAGUCUCUCUUCUUCUCCUUCCCGUCGCCGCGCCGCGAAUGCGAUGCCGCCGCGGCCGCCGCCGCUAGCAGCAGCCGCCGAUGUAACCUCCGUAGUCACCCGCCGCUCUCAAGCGGCACCCUCUUCAGAACUCACAGCCUCCACGCUCCCCGCCUACCGUGCGCUCAUCCGCAAGCUCGUCUCUGCCGGCCGCCUCAACGACGUCGAUACCGCCCUCGCCUCUGCGCGCUCCCACCUCGCCCCAGACUCCCUCCAUCCGCUCUACGUAGUCUCCAUUCAAGCCUAUGCCCGUGCCGGCCGCCUCCGUGCCGCCGUCGACGCCUUCGAGCGCAUGGACCUCUUCGGCUGCCCGCCCGCCGCCCCCGCCUAUAACGCCAUCAUGGACGCCCUCGUGAACACCGCCUACCACGACCAAGCUCACAAGGUCUACGUCAGGAUGCUUUCCGCCGGCGUUGCGCCCGACGCCCGCACCCACACCGUCCGCAUCAAGUCCUUCUGCAUCACCGGCCGUCCUCACGUCGCCCUGCGCCUGCUGCGCAGCUUGCCGGAGCGUGGCUGUGACGUCAAACCACUCGCCUACUGCACGGUCGUGCGUGGCCUCUAUGCCCACGGUCACGGUUACGAUGCACGUCACCUGUUCGAUGAAAUGCUCCGCAGGGAUGUCUUCCCUGAUGUUGCCACUUUCAACAAUGUUUUGCACGCUCUUUGCCAGAAAGGGGAUAUCAUGGAGUCGGGGGCACUUCUGGCCAAGGUCCUCAAGCGGGGCAUGUCAGUGAACAAGUUCACCUGCAACAUAUGGAUCCGUGGCCUCUGUGAAGGCGGUAGGUUGGAAGAGGCUGUUGCGCUAGUGGAAAGUAUGGAUGCCUACAUUGCGCCAGAUGUUGUCACUUACAACACAUUGAUGCGUGGCCUUUGCAAGGACUCCAAGGUCCAGGAAGCUGCACAGUACCUUCGUAGGAUGAUGAAUCAGGGCUGCAUACCAGAUGAUUUCACCUACAACACCAUCAUUGAUGGCUACUGCAAGAGAGACAUGCUGCAGGAAGCUACUGAGCUUCUGAAAGAUGCUAUCUUUAAAGGUUUUGUACCAGACCGGGUCACAUAUUGCUCACUGAUCAAUGGACUGUGUGCCGAGGGUGACGUCGAGAGGGCCCUGGAGCUCUUCAAUGAGGCACAAGCAAAAGAUCUGAAGCCUGACCUUGUCGUCUACAACUCUCUUGUCAAGGGGCUCUGUCGCCAGGGCCUGAUCUUGCAUGCCUUGCAGGUAAUGAAUGAGAUGGUCGAGGAUGGCUGCCAUCCCGACAUUUGGACAUACAAUAUUGUCAUCAAUGGCCUGUGCAAAAUGGGAAAUAUUUCAGAUGCGGCAGUUGUGAUGAAUGACGCCAUUGUGAAAGGAUACCUUCCAGAUGUCUUUACCUUCAACACAAUGAUUGAUGGCUACUGCAAGAGAUUGAAGCUGGACAGUGCACUUCAGCUUGUUGAAAGGAUGUGGAUGUAUGGCAUUGCCCCUGAUGCUAUCACAUACAACUCGGUUUUGAAUGGCCUUUGCAAAGCUGGAAAAGCCAAGGAAGUCAAUGAAACAUUCGAAGAGAUGAUCCUUAAAGGAUGCAGACCAAAUGCUAUUACUUACAACAUACUGAUAGAAAAUUUUUGCAAGAUUAAUCAACUAGAAGAGGCUUCUGGGGUGAUAGUCAGGAUGAGUCAAGAUGGAUUAGUUCCUGAUACAAUUAGUUUCAACACGCUGAUUCAUGGAUUCUGCAGGAAUGGUGAUCUUGAUGGAGCAUACCUACUCUUUCAGAAGUUGGAUGAGAAAGGGUACUCUGCAACAGCUGACACUUUCAACAUCCUGAUUGGUGCAUAUUCUAGCAAGCUGAAUAUGCAAAUGGCUGAAAAGAUUUUUGGUGAAAUGAUCAGCAAAGGAUAUAAACCUGAUUUGUAUACUUAUCGUGUUCUAGUUGAUGGUUCGUGCAAGGCUGCAAAUGUUGACCGUGCGUAUGUGCAUCUAGCAGAAAUGGUAAGCAAGGGUUUUGUUCCAUCGAUGGCUACUUUUGGCCGCGUAUUAAAUUCACUUGCAAUGAAUCAUCGGGUUUCUGAAGCUGUUGCUAUUAUUCACAUUAUGGUGAGAAUGGGAGUUGUUCCUGAGGUUGUUGAUACCAUCUUGAGUACUGAUAAGAAGGAGAUAGCUGCACCAAAGAUACUUGUUGAGGAAUUGAUGAAGAAGGGUCACAUUAGUUACCCUACUUAUGAAGUUCUUCAUGAAGGAGUGAGAGAUAAUAAAUUAACUAGAAAAGCUCGAAAGGCAGAUGCAUCUAAUAUGUUUGCUUCACAGCAUCAUAAAAGAUCAUAUCAAUAAGCUAAUAAAGCUUUGAUGUGCCUGAGCAUAAGAUCUGUUUAUGCUAUUAGGCGAGUUCUUCAGAUUCAUGGAUGCUGCUGUACACUGUUAUUCCAGGGCCUCAUUGCUCAGAAUAUGGAGAUUAUCUGAUCCUGAUUGUAUGAAUACAACCACCCAUGGCAUUUCCUAUGACUGAGGGUGGAAAUCAUCAUUAUACUCUGUAGAGUAUCUCAUUUCAGCUAGUAUUUUCUUUUUCAUUCUGAAUGUCUGAGUAAUGGCUAUGCGGCUGUUGAUGAAAGGUGCUUCAUUGCUUGAAUUCAAUAUUGGAAGGCUCAUUUUAUUCA